GGAAAUGCUACAGUAGCAUUUCUUAGUAAUAUUUUAUGUUUUUAAUAAAAUAUUUCAGUUGGUAAGUUUGGCUUUUUGGUAAGAAAUUAUAUUUACAGAAUCACAUAUUUAGACAUGCCAAAACUCCCCAAACAAUCCAACCAAAAAGUGUUUAGCUCAAAGCCUCGUUUCCCAUCAAAAAUAGAUGCAGUGGAAGAUUUUCAGGCAGCCCUAUAUUUAACCUCCUUGGAUCAAAAUUUGGUUGUUGGACUGAGAGAGGCUUCUAGAGUGUUUUUGCUGCUUUUGUUAGGGUGUCUGUUUUUUCACUCAUGACAUCUGCUUGCUUUUUAAGCUAUAUUCAACCUUGUUAUAAUUCUUCAUAUUGCAGCAUUUUACUGUGCUCAGAAUGCUAAUUCCCACAGGACUCAACUUGCUGGGGUAUAUGAAAACUCAGUUUCUUUCAAGAGGUGCAUCAAUCUUGCCUUUUUUUUUUGCCUGGGUUUUAAUAAGCAAAUAUGAGUACCAUAUCCACUGAACACUGACUGUGCAGAAAACAGCAUCACUGCAAUACAGUUCCUAGUUUCUUUGCCCAGGGUAUCCUUGCUUUGGCAUGUUGUGGAUGUAAAAGUAUAUGUAAGUUUAAGGGAUAAUUGGCUAAGUGUUUGAAAGAGAAGACCCAUUGGGCAAGAUAAAUAGAUAAGUCACAUCAGUCUCAGGAAUUCCUGAUGGGAAUACAGUUGAAGGGCUAGGGAGUUAUUCUAGGAAAAUACUGCAUUUGAUUUUUUUGCUCAUGCUCUCUUCUCUUGAUUCUGACUUGUGGCUGCUUUUGGAAGCAGGAUACUGAGCUAAAUGGACUUUUGAUCUGAAUUGUCAUAGCCAUCCUUAGGUAAGGAGAAGAACAUCAAUGAAUGAGUAAGUGUGGGCUUUGGCAAUCUGGAAUUCAGCAAAAAUUAUCAGAAUUGAAAUUCUUUUCUCCAACAAAACUGUAAGCCAGUCACAAAAGAUGUGGUCAUAGGGAUAGAGAAUUUUGGCUGAAUAGAUUGUGAUUCUGGAGUCUCGAGCUUUUUGCUGAUUUUUUAUUUUUCUUUUGCAGCUUCCAUUUCUCUUUUGUUGCUUCUUCAGCAAAUUCAGUAAGAAUUUGCUACAACUAUGUAUCAAAUACAACUGUGAACCUUUUGGUUGGUGGGUAGAACAUAAGUUGAUACUCCUACAGAGUUCACUGUGCCUUGUAUUAUGACAAAAAGACAAAACAAAGCAAAUAAAAAAAAUCAGGGAGGAAAAUUCUUAAUAUGACCUACAUUAGUUUCAGUAGGUGUUAUGUUUUGUCAUUAGCUCAGUGUUAGAAUGCAGUUUUUAGCCAGAAUCUAUCACGAACUGGCAACAUGUGGUGUUUCUUAAGCAAAAGUUGAUUGUUAUUCUUUAUUGCUUGUUUUACAUGUUAACACUUACAGAAACAUAUUUCCAAAUAUUUUUAACUUUGUUUUCAUGGCAGUUUAAUGUAGUUCACUUCAUGACUGCUGAACAAUACUAUGCUUUUUCAGUCUUCACAGACAUUAAUGAUGAAAUCUGUAAAUGAGCAUAUGCCUAGUUUUGUAAGACAGCAGCUAUAUUUUUCUAUAUUUUAGUAAACUCUUCAGACUUUUUAUGAUUUCCUGAAAGUGUAUAUAUUUAGUUAUACUCCUGUGUGCUUAAGUUUACUUGAGAGUUAUAUUGACCAAACUAUAUGGUGUCUCUUUUAUUUCUUUUCCUGACAUGAUAGGCACCUUUUAUUCAGCUUUCUGUCAGCAGAAUUUUAUUAUAGUACAUUGCCAGUACUAGAAAUUUCCUUUUAUAAUAAAAGCUUCCUUUCAUUAUCUCAGAAUUAUUUAAAAUAAAUAUUUGCAUGAAAAUGUAAUAGCCUGACAAAUGUUUGAAAGGAAGAAAUAGUUUUUGUUGAGAAAGAGAUUCAUCAUACUGGAACCCAAACUGUGGCAGGAAAGACAAUGAAGAAAGGAAAGCACAAUAUUGAAGCAUAAGAGUGAGCUCCUAUGUAUGACAUCUAAAUGCUUUUGGAAGUGAAAUGCUACACAUUCAGUUAGUGUUAUUUCAAGUAAUCAUUGUCCAAGGAAGAAAUUUUAGUACAUUAAAAUUCAUGAGUUGGAAAAAUUAGCAAAAAAAAAAAAUAUCGUAUUUUCCUAAAAAUGUGGUAAAAAUAUAUAAAUUCUUUUAAAAUUAAUUCAGAAAUUUUGUGAAGUGAAAGGAGAUAUUGUAAUCCUGUCUCUAAAGUGUGUCAAGAAUAGCAGAAUAGUGCAACCUCUCUCACAUAAUUUGUAUUCCUUAGUCAGAAUUUUUAUGAUAAUCUGAAGAAGCGAGAAGCAAAUAGAGUUGCCAAAUCUGUCCACUCUUGAAACUGAAAGAAUUGAGGGGAGUAAUUGGGUGCAAAAUAAACAUGUGUUCACAAGUAAUUGUACUGCCACUAUUAAAUUUCUUUCAUUAUGGUAGUAGGUAGUAAUUACUUUAACUUCAAGGGAAAGAGAAGAUUACAUCCUGCAAAACUUUUUCAUGCAAAAUAGUCUAUCCUUCUGUCAGUGAUCCUGCUUAAAGUGUCUGCUUACUUGAGAAAAGGUUUGUCAAAUCAAGUCUUUAAAUGGGAAAGGGGAUUAGGAAACAACAAACAAAAUCCAACUUGCAGUGGGAGUUAACUUUUGGGGGUGUAGGGCAGCAAAUGGACAAUGAAUCAUCUUUUCAGUAUUCGGUACUAUCAAAACUCUUUUUCUUAGAAGUAUUUAUAUUUUUAUUGGCAGAAAAUUCGAGAUUCAGGAAAGGAAAAUGCUAUGGUAAAAAACACAUAAAGAAUCUUGUGCCAAAACCCAGAGUUAAGGCAUAUAUCUUCUACAGUUUUAGGAAAUGAUGAGCAUAAACUGGAAAAGUGUUUCUGUGCUUGAAAAUUCUAAUUGUCGCUGUGUAUGUCAGUCUCUUUUCUGUUUUGUACAGCUCUUGUGCUGGCAUUUUUGAAACAAACCUUACUUUUACAAGAGUCACUAGUUUGAUCUGGGAUAUAAGAAAUAGUUGUUAGUUUUAUGGGCAGUAAAUCUGGAUAUAAUAAUUUUCACUUUUGAAUAAGCUGCUUCAUUCUGUAUGUAAAACAAAACAGCUUCAAUAUGCUUGGGUUUGUAAUUAACAAAUGUCGAGUUGAUCAAAAAUAUCUUUUCUAAUACAAUGCAUGGAGAUGAGUCUAGGCUGUGUUACAGAAUAAUGUGAUUAUAAUGAUUUCCUUAAGAGAGCACAAAAGCAGCAUCUAAGUUUCAGCUGACGUUUAUUGACACACAGCAUCCGUUGGGAGCCCCAUCAAACUUCCUAUUCUUUUCUGUUUACCACCUCCUGCUUUUAUUUACAGUCAGCAUAUCUGUUAAUUAGCCUCUGGUAGAGCCAGUUCUUCUAAGAAGAUCUCUUGUCUUCCUGGUGAUGGCCCCAUGAGGUGACCAUGUACACACAGUCUGUGAAUGAAUUAAUCUUUAACUCAUUAAUUUCAGUGCCUGAUUCUGGAACGUUUAACAGCUAACUUGGUUUCCUGCUACAGCAAUUUAUAUUUGGAGAAUUGUGGUCUUUGACUUCCACUGACUUCAAUGUCAUAAACACAUCCGAGUGAGCUUUCAGCACCUUACUGAAAGUCGAAUAUUCUUGUAACUUUUUGGUUUUCUGUGAUUGGACCAGAAUGCAGAUAAGACAUUGGUGACUUUCUCUGUGUCACUACAGUUAUUUACCUAGUUUUCUUUGCACUUUUGCAGAAUAAAAUUGCUCCUCCUCUUCCUCAGCUACCUCUGUUGCACAAUAACUGAAUGAAACAUUUUGGAAAAAAAAAUCUGAUGUAACGUUGCGAUACCAGAAUCUCCCAAGAGGGUACUCAGUAGGGUACCAUACUGUUUUACAGAAUCUCAGUUAGACCUUGCUUGUUUAUAGCCACAGUCUGAAUGCUAGAAGUGGUGGUUGUAGUGCGCUUCUCUCACAGCAUGUCUUGUGAAAAGGAAAGAGUUGCAGCGAUAUUUGCAGGAAGAAUUCGGGACCAGGAUUCAGAGAUGCCUCGCCCUGGCCUACUGUGUGUGCUAGAAGUGAUUUGAGAGGUGUGAGCUGAUCUGUGCGUCUCACUGGGGUGUUACAAAUCUUGUAGUUUCAGUGUUAAUGGUUGUGUUUGUUUCACCUGAAACUUGAGAAAGGAAUGACUGGGCCACUUAUCUGCACAGUCAACUGUAGGUAAUGUGUUGAAGUGAUGACCCAGCUCCUCACUUUUGCCAGAGUGGUGUUUCUUCCUUCUCUGUCCUCCAGUUGAGGAGUAGUCAAACACUAAAGAUUUGACCAUAGGUUACAGGCACCCUUGAAAUCCUGCCCAGAGCAAGUGCAAGUAUUGAAAGCCAUAAAGUACACUGUGCUGGGGUGAACAUUUUCAUAAUUUAAUGAGUGCUUUACUGAUAAAAAUUCACUGUUUCAGAUAAAAAAAACCCCAAACACCAAUACCACCACCACCACCACUAUUACUACUACUAACAACAAUAAUAAUAACAAUAAUAACAAUAAUAAUAAUAAUAAUAAUAAACAAAAAAAGCCCAAACCACCCAAACAACAGCAUAAUCCCUGGAAUACAUCCAAUUUUUAUGCUGGAGAAGUACCUUAGUGUGGAAGUAUUUGUGCUCAUCUAAAAGAUUUUAUGCUUGCAGAACUGCAUCCCAUUGUCUACUUUUUUGUGAAUAGGCAGAUCCAGGUAAAGUAACUUAGUUUUAAAGGAACUAUAAACCCCAAUUCCUUCAAAUCAAAUUCCUAAGACAUCCAAGUGUCCAGGAUGCUGUGAAAAGAGACACAAAAAUAAGGAAUAGAAGGUGAAUGUUUGCUACUGAUGGCUCUUGUCUUUGGAGGAUCAGCGCUGAUGCAGUGUUGUGACAAAAAAUCAAUGAAUGAAAAUUUCUGCCACCUUUAAUUGUAAGAAGCUAAUGCUGAACUGAUCUGUUAAUGUUUCAUGGGGAAAGUUGACAGUGAGGGAAAUGGUGGGUGAUAUUUCUUCAAAACAUGUUAACUGCUUUUACUUAUUUUGUCGUUUAAGGAUAGAAAGAUCAGAGAUGCUAGAAAUGGUUCCUAGAACUGGGUGGCCCUUCAUCAGUGUUUUAUAGGUACUAUUUAAGCCAUCUUUGCUAAGGAGAAGCUCCUUUACUAUUAAUAUGCUGUCAUCUUUCAAAUCUCAUCAAGGCAGCACCAGAAUUUUUUUGCACAGAUUUCCUUUGACAUACAGCCUCAAUAAAUAUGGAAAUUACAGCUUAAAUCUCAUUUUUUUUCUUGCAAAGCAGCACAGUGCCCAAAUUCAUUGAAUUUCAACUUUUUUUUUUUCUUAAUGUUGAAAGACAUAUAUGCAAAUUUUAUUAACAAUAUGCGUGGUUAAAUUUAGCUGUAAACUCCAGUCAGGGAUUUUUGCUUUGUUUAUUGUCCAAGUCAAUAUGUCUGUGGAGAAAACCUCCUGCUGUGCAGGAAUACACAGUCAGCUACUUGGAAAAGUGGAAAGUUUAAUUAUGAGAGUUUAUUCUGAAAAAAGGUAAAACAAGCAUUGUUUUUUGGAUUGAGUUUUUUUAAUUAUGACUUCAGGUAGCAGAAGUACAACAUACACAGUUUAUUUUGACUCAAACUGUUCUCAGACAAACCAUUUGAUUUUUCUUUAACCUGGUCAUCUGUGUAACGGAGGAGUUCUGAAAGAGAGGUCAUGAAUAAAUGAUGCAUUUCUUAAACUUGCAAGGUAGAUAAUGACAUAAAUGAAGUAAAAUCCAAGUGUGAAGGAAAAAAAAAAAACAAGAACACAUGUAUUGCUGACAAUAUCUUCAUUAAAAUAUACUUUAUCCUAGGAAGGUAUUAGUGUCAGGUUGCCUGAAAGAUGCAAAUAUCCUUUGUCGCUCUCUCAAGUUUUUUUGAUUUUUGUCAGUGGUAACAGUGAGGUACCUUUAUAUGAGGUUUUUAGUGGAAGGGUAAAUUAUUACUGGAGAAUGUGUGUUAUAAAUGAUAUCCAAACAUAUUCUCAUGUUUAUAAUAGAAAGCUCUCCAAGACUGUAGUCACUGGAGUGGUUCCCAUGUGUUCAGUUUUUGCAAGUCACUUACAUGGAAUACAUUUUAUCUAGCUAUCUAUAAAACCCCCACUGCUUGCAAAGAAGGUGUUUCUUCUGCCUAUCUAGAGUAUAUGUAAUACUGUAAUAAUCUGUAUUUCUCCCUGUGGUUCACUGCAUAUUUCUCCUUUUUAAGCCUGUUCAAAUGUAAUAUGAAGAGUGUUUUCAUGAUAAUUUUACUAUGGAUGAUAGUAACUAGCUUUAUUCUGAACCAAUAAAAUUUUUAAAAAACUUUGUUUAUGGCUAAUAUUUGGGUUGCAUGACUUUCAUCAGGUGUGAAAUCAAAUUCUUUUUUUCUUUAUGUCUGUGUAGGGCUGAUCCAUAACCUGAGCUAGUAGGUUCUCCAGCAAUACAAGUGGUAUAUGAUAAUUGCGUGUGAAGAAAGGCUGGCAGCUUUACAGAGGAAAUCUCUGAACCUGUAGGUGGCAUCUCCCUAGCUGCUCUUCACCAGCAAUAAUCACUUUUCACUUGAUCUAAAUGAAAAGAACGGUGACCACUGCCUUUAUGCAGUGGUGGUACAAACAAUAAGAAGCCAACAUCCAAGACUGUGGAAAAGCCAAAAUUGAACUGAAACUGAUGGGAUAUGAAAUGUCAGAUGGAAUGCAUGCCAGUUCAGCUGAUUUGCAGUUGUCCAUGGAUGAGAGACAUCAGUGAACAAAAAGAUUUCUGCUGUAGCUGGAGGAAACAGUAGGUAUGAUGUAGAAGAUAACUAUCAGCUCCAGAGAGAAGCUGUAAUGGCACAGAUAAUCCUCUCGACUUUGGAAGGUGUCCUGUUGUCUUGGUGAUUCUUGGACCAUUUGGAGAGUGGGAAAACAAGAAGAAGAUGUCUUUCUGCACCUCACAGCAUGUUUGAUGUUCAUUGACAGAGGUCAUAUGUAGCUGCAUGUCCCUCUCCAGGAGCAGAAAGGAGAUAAGGGUGGCUUCAGUCUGUGAACUGAUUGUGAAUGAAGGGGAACAAUGUGCCCACGCACACACAGACCCACUGCAGUGACUGAAGUGGAGAUUUUGCUCACUCCUUCUAAUUCAUGUGUCCUUACGUUCUUCUCUGGCCUAGGACGUUUGACUUCCUCUUCUGCAGUGUUUGAACACCUCUACCCUGCUGGCUAUCACUUCAUAUUCCCUGAAGUGAUGAUGGGAUUAUAUCAGAGAUGUCGGAGGACAUGGAUUUGGCAGUGGAGACUAUUGGAUUUUAUUCCUCUGCUAACACUGUCUACCUUCAGAAAGCACAAGCCAUUGCAUUAUGGCCUCAUAUGAAGUCACUAACUUUUGCAUGUCAAGCAUAAAAGAGAAAUGUAUAAACAAAAUGGGAAGCAUGGUUGGGCCAAAUGCAUCUUUGUUAUUAUGACUGAGCUUACAGGGAAGUCGUGGAGAGUGAGUUUGGUUUGACUUGGGCACAAUUACGUCUGACUUUCUUUGCUUCUUUGUUCUGAUCUCUGGUGGAAUAUUCUGGCCCCGGUGUUAUUUCCCUCGCCUGUCCAUGGUCUUCCUGAGAACUGCUGGCAGAGGGAGAUUUUAACAGCCUGAAGUGUUGAUUCUGAGCAGUGUGAAGGAAAAAGAACCAUGUUGGAUAAUGUGACUCACCUUGAGAAGUUGGUGUUUUUCAGCCGAGGGAAAGUGUUAAGUUUCAGCCUUGCUAGUCCAGGUGUUAUAAUGGAUAUUGCUGUAAGAGGAAACCCUGGUCUGCUCAUCCUGCUCAGUCCUGAGUAAGAGAAUAACAACUUACAUAGUGACAUAAAUGUUUAAUGAUUCAUGAUAAAAAAAAUAAAAUAAUUAGAUGGCAAGCAAAAUGCUAGGUUAAUUGAUUAUGGAGUCCUAAAUUCCCCAAAAUGUGGCAUUCCAGCCAAAUAUGGCUGAAAUAUCAGUUGUCAUAUGAUGAAUAUUUUAAAGAAGAUUCUAUAAUACACCUAGGGGUUCAUUCGCUUCAGUAAUGAGGACAGUUACCUCUAGGGAAAGGAAGCUAUAUUAUGCUUGCCACUUAACCAGGGGCUGGUUUGACAGGCAUCAGCUCAGAAUAUAUGUGUAUAUAUAGGGAAUCACAGCAGCUUGUCUCUAGCUUACUGAGCAGGAAAUGUUGUGCUGUACAAUUCUUUGGGUUUCUAUCUAUGGAUUUGUGGAUGGCACUGAGUGGGAUUCAGACUAUUUUUAUUCCUGAGUCUGAUUGUUGAGGUGGAAUCCAUCACCUACUAAAUAUUAAAUCAGCAGGUUUUUUAAAGAGCAACACUGUCUCUGCUGACUUGAACAUCCUUAUGUGGCCCAGAGGAAAAGAGAAACAAAGACAAGAUGAGAAAACUAUCGUCUUUGGCAUUCUUCUUAAUAUUAAUGAUUUCUCUAAAGUUUUCAAACUGUUGCAGGCAAAAAGUGAGAUAUAACUUUCACAUGGGUAAGAAAUGACCCAGGUGAAAAAAAGGCAUACAUUAUAAAAACUGUGAUGAAACUUAUGGAGUUGAAUUAUUAGUUGGAAGAGAAGAAGAAAAUGCAUCAACAGAUUAUUUUUUAAACAAGUUUUGUUUAAUUGGUUCCAAACAAACAUGGCUGGGAAUUUUUAGGAAUGUGUCAAUUCAAAAUUAUUUGAAAACUUUCAUGCAGAUGCAAAUUAUGUCAGAUUUUACACUAAGUAUUGUUUCUGAAACCUAGUGUUUGUAAAUGCUGAAGUUUUGAGAUAACUACUCAACUUACAUGCUAUUGUUCAUCUUACCAGACUGUCUGGAAUUAUAUAUAGUUCCUUCAUGGUUUUCUUUCUUUUUAAAGUUGCACUUCAUAGACAAUACCCAAAGACACCAGUCUGUGAGGUUACCUGAAUGAGUAUUUCUACUGUACCCCUAGUUUUGUAUAUGGACACUCAUCAUGCACCACUGCAGAAAUAAAAGCCCAUUUCUGUCACCCUUAAAGGGCAAGUAGGUGAAAUAACAAUUUUUUUGGUUUUACAUUUUGCAAAAUAUUCACAUUUCAGUUACAGAAAUCAAAAUGAAUAAUUGUUGCAAAAAUUUUCUACAGGCAGUGAAAAUUCUUAAAAAGCUUCUGGUUGCUGACUGCUAAGAUGGAAGCUCACUUCUUAUGUCACAUUUUUAAGACCUCAGAUGACAUACAAAAAUGUCCUGGAUGCCCUGAUAUUUAAAAAGUGCGUCCUGUGCCACCCUAUGGUAGAGAAAUUCCAGUCCUUUGCUUAAUUUCAAAUAAUUCUCCUUGUUUAGCCAGAUGAAUUCUCUAGGUUUCAGAAUACAAGUAAUUAAUUCCGAUGCUCUUUGUUUGAUAAACUGACCUUCGAUGCAAAAAAAAGGUACAAAAUUAAAGUACUCAUUAAGUUGAUGCCUUUGCAUAUUUCACGUGCAUUUUUAAAGAUUCUGUUACAUAUUCAUCAGUUUGUCUUAGUCACAGAGUUGCUGCCAUGAAUGCUGUGUAAAUAUGUGGAUAUCUGAGCUGCUUUGUAGGGGCAGGGGAGAUAAGGAAAAAAAUCUAAUAUAGAAAUGGGGGGGAAUAAAUGAGAGUAGGAGUUAAGAGGGACUUGGAGCUAUAUAGUUCCCAGUCUAUACAUCUGAAUCUUUAGAGGUUGUAGUGUUUACUUUCCCAGUGUAAUUCUUGAUGUGUACUGGGAAUUUUGAUCACAUUUUGAUGUUAUUUAUAACCCAACAGUUACUAUUUUUCACCUUGAGUUAAGGGUUGAAUAAUCUUAAAUUGUCCAGUGACCAUGAACUUCUUUGCCAGCCUAUCAAUUCAUUCAUUACCUACAUUGUUUAUAAUUGUGUGUGAAAAAAAAUCGAAUAAAACCAUGCUUUCUGUUUUGAUGCAAAGUUGUAUUUCUGGAGUUUGUUUUAGAUUUGUGCCCUGCUUGAUCUGAUGUCCUGUUAUGUUAGUAAUAUAA